CCCUGGUGGCUCAGAUGGUAAAAGCGUCUGCCUACAAUGCAGGAGACCCAGGUUUGAAUCCUGGAUCAGGAA
rnacentral:tRNA from 1 species